UAGAAUUGACGGGACCCGCACAAGCAGCGGAGCGUGUGGUUUAAUUCGUUGCUACACGAAGAACCUUACCUGGGUUUGACAUAUAGGUUGUAGGGAACUGAAAGGGACCGACCCUUCGGGGAGCCUAUACAGGUGUUUGCAUGGCUGUCGUCAGCUCGUGUCGUGAGAUGUUCGGUUAAGUCCGCUAACGAGCGCAACCCUCGUCGUAUGUUAUAUGUGUCAUACGAGACUGCCGGUAAAAAGCCGGAGGAAGGUGAGGAUGAUGUCAAGUCAGCAUGACCUUUAUAUCCAGGGCUACACACACGCUACAAUGGUCUGUACAAUGGGUAGCCAAGCCGCGAGGCGGAGCCAAUCCUGAAAGCAGGCCUCAGUUCAGAUUGCAGUCUGCAACUCGACUGCAUGAAGCCGGAGUUGCUAGUAACCGCAGGUCAGCAAUACUGCGGUGAAUACGUUCCCGGGGCUU
rnacentral:rRNA from 1 species